rnacentral:rRNA from 1 species
GUAACACGUAGGUAACCUGCCCAUGUGCCCGGGAUAACUUCUGGAAACGGAUGCUAAAACCGGAUAGGUAGCAGACAAGCAUUUGACUGCUAUUAAAGUGGCUAAGGCCAUGAACAUGGAUGGACCUGCGGUGCAUUAGCUAGUUGGUGAGGUAACGGCCCACCAAGGCGACGAUGCAUAGCCGGCCUGAGAGGGCGGACGGCCACAUUGGGACUGAGACACGGCCCAAACUCCUACGGGAGGCAGCAG